UGGGGAAUAUUGCGCAAUGGGGGCAACCCUGACGCAGCAACGCCGCGUGUGUGAUGAAGGCCCUAGGGUCGUAAAGCACUGUUGGGUGGGAAGAAUUUUGACGGUACCACCUGAGGAAGCACCGGCUAACUCCGUGCCAGCAGCCGCGGUAAUACGGAGGGUGCAAACGUUGUUCGGAAUCAUUGGGCGUAAAGAGCACGUAGGCGGCUCAUUAGGUCGGGUGUGAAAUCCCGGGGCUUAACCUCGGAAUUGCGCUCGAAACCGGUGAGCUUGAGUCCUGGAGGGAGAAGUAGAAUUCCUGGUGUAGGGGUGAAAUCCGUAGAUAUCAGGAGGAAUACCAGUGGCGAAGGCGACUUCUUGGCCAAGGACUGACGCUGAGGUGCGAAAGCGUGGGUAGCAAACAGG
rnacentral:rRNA from 1 species